UCUGCUUUCAGCAGCAGCAUUUGCAAACGGCCGGAACAAACCUGAGGAGCAUCGUCACGUAGGACUUUCAAGAUGGCUCACAUGAAUCCUGAGAGCCCUGAGCCAUUUCACUGGCCAGCAAUAGCACCCUCUGAGGUGAGGCUGCUCCCUCCAGGUGAAAUCGUGCCAGCUGCCUACAAGCCCAUGGGAGGACAUGGUGUUAGCCUCAGCAGCAAUGCAAGGCAAUGCUAACAUGGAGAACAAACAGAGGGAAUGCUGCAUACAAGGAGGUACCAGAGUUGAUCAUCCCACAGAGCAUCACACAUUUUUCAUGCUGCUGUAGAAGACACUGCUCAUGUAGGACUUCACAGUCCCAGGUGAACAGAGGAUCCCAAACUGUCUGAGCAGCAACUAUCCACAGCAGCAGAAAGCAUUCCUAGUUGCCUGAAACCCCAUUGCUUUCAGGAAAAAAGCUGACUAGAGUCUCAGAUGACUUGGAGACAGCAGUUGGCUUCAGUAUGUGAGAACCAAGUUUUCAAAUGUGGUAAUGAUGAAGCCAACAGGAAGCAGUAGCUUGAAGAUGAGUCUGAGGUGCGGUACCCGUCCAAGUGUGGGAUUACGGAGGGCAGACGGAUCCUGCCUCAGCAGAGCAGCCACUGCAGCCACCAGGGAAUUCAUGAGGCCAAACAGAACAAAUACAUGAGAGAGAUGGCCAAGGUCACGCCAUGCUGCAGGAAGCAGAUGUUUUGACACGAGUGUAUGCAGGGCGGGCUGCUGCCCCAGUGGUGGCCCCUCUGCAGCCUGAGAAAUGGGAGAGCAGUUGCAGAGCCAUGCACCAAAAAUGCUGCCUCAGGGCUCUGGAUACUGCAUAUGGAAACACAGAGAUGAGUAGUGAGCUGGUUUGUGCUCAGGCAAGCUAGCAGGAGACAGGGUACAUGCAGUCAUGUAAUCGGUCUGCGCAGGAGGAGCAGCAGGGUUUGGAGAUAAAGAAGAGUUAUGCAUACAGUUAAAAAUAAUGAAUGGGCUUCACCUAGGAAGAAGAGCAGACAGAGAAUGAAAUAGGAGUUUGCAAUCAUAUGGCACCAGAAAGAGGAAACAGGGUUCUGGCAUCAGCCAUGAAUCUGUUAAGACAGCCUUGCACGGAGGCCAGCAGGGAUCCCUGCAUCCCAGCAGAGCUCACCACUGUUUUGUGCAGCCUGGGGGAUGGCACUGCCACUGGGCAGGAGAGCGGCUGGGCCAUGGCAAUGCAGGGCAGAGUAACCUCCUCCCCUGCCGACAUCGUGCUCAGACCUGGAAGAACCAUCCCCAGAGAAGUGGGGGAUGCAAUACAGAGUUCCAUGGUUUCAGUUCUGGUGUGCUGCAGUGGUGUGAAGGCGUGAGGGGGCACGAAGAACAAGGGCUUGAGCUGCAGGGGAACCUCGGUGACACAUGCUGGGUUCAUGCAGGUGGAAAGCAUUUCAUCAGAAAGGAGCCCAGUGCAGACUGUGCAUCUAAACUUCGUAGGAGACCUUAUAGAGAGAAUUGCACAGUGAAGCAGUGAUAGAAGAGAUUGUAAGUGCUGGAAGGCAGCAAGCGCCCUGCAGUCAAAAGAAGGCACAAAUAUGCAGGAGAUUAAUUUGCCAGCAGAGCAAUUAGGCUGCCAGUACCAUUUUGCACCAGAACCAGUCACCUGAGAUCAUUCUUACAGACAGCAGAGUCUCUCCCUGGGCAGAUGUAUAAAGCAGUCUGAGACCUCCCUUCCUCCCAGCAUUUCUUUUACCCCAUCAGCCCCAAAAGGUGCCCACAGGGGCUGAUCCAGAGGCGGCAAACCAGCACUCACUGAGGAGGUGUGGUGAAUCAGACAGAACUCCAACAGCAGUCUUAGGGAAUGGCUGCCUGCAGGCCAGGAGAGGAUGUGGCCUUUCUCAUUUCAUUUGCAAGUCUGGAGCAAGGAGACAAAUAUUUACUGGGAUGUUUAUUUGAGAACAAGUUGGUGGGAAGAGGAGCACGGCUGAUAUCAAAGGAAUGCUCAUUCGUGUCACAGCCUUUGAAAACAGUGUUUAUGAUUAAUUCAUCUUUCUAUAACCAGCACUACCCAUAGAGUGUUUGUUAUUUAUUUAUUCAUUUAUUACCCUUUCUGUAUCCAUCAGAGUGAUUUAUAACAUGUAGUGAACCAAAGAUCAUUAGUGCGUGACUGAAGAACUGGUACAGGCUUAUCUGUGGGACAUUGCUCGGCAAAGCACCAAACUCUCUUCUGAAUUUAUUUUUCCCCAUCAAUGCAUCAUCUAAGAUAUGGUGUUUUCUUCAGCCUGGUCAUUCCGAAGAUGUUAUUUCCCUUUGGGAGGCCCUGGUUGUUCGAAUGUUCAGCAGUUGACAGCUAUCUGGAUCUCAGUACAAAAGGACUGAAGCCAACAACAUUUCUAUCUUUUCAUCUUUCUGGCCUUAGCCUGACUCAGGCACUGGCUGCUACUUAUUGCUGCUAUUCGUGACAUAGAUGGUGUUGCUGUGACCUUUUCUCUGUUAUGGUCUUAUCUGAUGUUUGCAGGACUUCAUAUAGUUGAGGGGUUUACAUGUAACAGCAUUUCUGGGUCAUUUUCUCUCUGUUUCUGGAGGAAUUUAUCAUUAAUAAAGGUACUGCAGAACUGACACCAUAGCAUAGGGUCCUACAGGCAGCCAGGAGGCAGGUGCUGCUGGGAGCACACACAGCCCCAGCUUGGGCAGGGAGGACAGCUGCAGUCCCUGGUGGGUUGGCCCAAUAAGCAGGAGCAGAGCAAUGGAAGCAGGUAGAACCCGAACAACUCCUCUUGCUCCAGAGUUGUUCUCAGCCAGCAGAGCCCAGCAAGCAAGAGGUACGCUCAGCACAGCCUUGAGUGUUUCUCUACCCCAUCAAGGCUGCACAGCUGCAGGCAGGGCUGGCUACUACUCUAGGAGCAUGAAAUUUCUUACCAGAGUGCUCUUGGUAGGACAUUUUGCAGCCACAUUUCCUUUGCCCACUCAAAUUAUCACAAAGUGUGACGUCCCAUCGGAUCUUCGUGCCCAGAUUUCCUAACCUGUUGUUGAUUCUGGUUAUUACCACCUGGUCGAUCUGGUUUCCCAAUGCUUUCAGCUGUUUCUUUCUCCUGAACUGCAGCUCUGCAGGGUGUGUGCACACAAGAGGUCUUCUGCACAAGCUGAUCAUCCAUGCAGAUCACGGUGAUGUUGGUUUGUGUGGGUGAGAACCCCCACUUCUGAGCAAGUUUUUCUCCCUGGUAGCUCAGUGCCAGCUGCACACCUAUUGCUCCACAGCCACACGGUGCUCACCUACCUGCAUGACAUGGCUCUCAGUCGCUGCUCUGCACACCUCAGAGCAAAUGUUAGCAGCAUUUUAACUUCAAAGAUGGGAUAAAGCUUUGGAAUGGCUCCAAGCUUUGGAUGAUUCUUGAUGUUGCUCCCAUGUAAGUACCUGAAGAACCAACUUCGUUUCUCAUACCUCCCAGCUUAAAACAUAAAUCUCUGAAAAUGCUGCCUGAGUUUAUAAGCUGCAGCUUCUAGAACUGUGAGAUCUAACACUUCUUUCUGCCUGGCACUGGCUGCAGCACCACAUAGCAUUUGAGUUAUAUUACAAAAUUUUUGAAGGCUUUAUCACAUUUUAUUUAGAAAAAUAAAACCUUCUUUAGGAAGAGGGACUGUGUAACAUCCCUUUCCGAGGUUGUUUUCUCAGCACUCAGGGAAUAUAUGUCUUGUUUUGAGAUAAGUUAAAUAGAAUCCAUCUCCCUAGGGCAGAGCAUGCACUUUCCUCCCAAGGAGGUCAAGAAGCAUUUCCACCCUGUAGCUAUGAGGCACUGCUGAAAAGCAAUGAAAUCAUUGAGGAGAUCACAUGAAUGCUUAGCUCCAGUGGAGACAAGUGGGUACGGUCUGGUGGGAAGUUUUACUUACUGUAAAGUCCUUCCUUUAUGAAAUGAGAAAUGUUUAAAAAUGGAGCAUCCCUUGUAUCAUGCCCUCUCCAUAUGGCUGUUGCAACAGCACUCCUAAGCUAUAAUGGAGAAAAGAAGCACAGAACCAGUGCAGUAGGAAGGGAUUUUCAGUGCCUGCCAUCCAAACUUGUCCCACAUUGCAGCAAAGCCAGCUGAGGCCAUGGUUUGUCUAGCUGAGUCUUCAGGACUUCCAGGGAGGAGAUCCCGCAGCCUCUCAGGGUGAACUGUUCUAGUGCUGCAAUUUCUUCUUGCUGGAGAGAUUUUACUGAAGUCCUCUCUGAACUUCCCACCAUGAAUGGUUUUGGCACCUGCUAUGCUGUCUCUCAGUACUGUGAGAAGUUUGACGCAGUCAUCUUUGUAGCCACCCUUGAAAUGGCUGCUGACCUCGGUUAGAUUCCUUGAGCCUUCUUAUUGCCAGAUGAAACAAGACCAGCUCUUUCCACCUUGCUGCAUAAGCCAUCUGCUCCAGCUUUUCUCUGCACUGUCUCCUCUUUCUCACAUACACGCUACCAUGUCAGGUACCCAGCAGAGAAUGCAGUCCUCCUGGUGUGAUUACUACUAAUGAGCAGAGACAAUAAGUGUCCUCCGUUUGCCUUGUCUGUAAUGAGGGUGUGCCACUGGGCUUUAUUCACCCUGCUAUCCUCCACAAAGUCCCAGGUCCUUUCAUCGGGGCUGCUCAGCACACCCAUUAUUAUCUCAGGUAGGAGAAGGAAGUCAAGAUAAAGGACAGCACAACAGAGAAAGAUCUGUUCAGGAUGGAGCUCCAUUUCCAUAGGCUCCUAGGUGCAGCAGGCAACCAGCCCAGGAAGAGUCUCUGCACCAUGCCUACUCUGGAAAAUGGCAGAGCCUUUAACCCCAGACAUGGCCAUCAGAUGGGGAACAUAAGAGCAGCCUGUCUAGACAAGGAUCUGGUGUUUGGCAAUGGUCAAUAGCAGAUGGAAAGAGAUGAGAGCAGAGAAAGCACAUAAGGACACCUUCCUGGAUCAUGAUCCUCAACUCCUUCAGUGCAUGUCAGUGAUUACCAUGGGAGCACUAGGUCUGUCUUGUACGGUAUUGUACAGUAAGUAUGUGGGAGCAGACUUAGGGGCAGUGUGUCACCUCACAGCCUGCCACAGACCCCCCUCUGCACAGAAGCUCAGCUAUCUCAGUGCACCUGGGGGGUGGUGAGCGGUGGGGAUCUCCGCCCACCCACUCUAGUCUGCAUACUGGGAGGACUGGGGCUACCUAGGCGGGUUGCGAGCGGUACCAGACAACGCGGGAAGCUGGUUAUGGGCAGAAAGAAUGGAAAAUGCUCGCUGCUGUUUCUGUUUAACUUUAGGACCUGAUCCAGCUGAGAUAAUAACAGAAGAGUUCACUUUGCCAUGUCAAAUAUGCAGGUACUUUGCAGUAUUAAGAGCUGAUGCCCUGUUCUUAUAAAACUGGCCUCUGCUGAUUAUGGGAAGACAAAGUUGCCCAUAAACAAUGUUUUAUUUCUUAUUUAAUGCAAAUUCUCGGGCAAAAGGAGUCAAUCAAUUUUUCAUAAAGUAUAAAACAGAGAUAAGUGCCUGGGAUCAUGUGUGAGUCCCUGUCAAACAGAACCGAUAAGUCUGUGAUGCAGUACAGGGAGUGCUUUGCAAGUAUUGUCCAAGCGACCUUUUCAUUAGUUUGUCUUAAGCAGUUAAUCACUUUUUUCCAGGAUACAGACUAUUUUAAGUCCCAUUACAUCAUAUAUGCAUUUUAAAUAUUAAUUUUCCUUCCAUGUCAUGCUUGGAGGAUUUGAUUGUUGUUUCCCCCGUUUUAGCACCGUCCUCCCCUUCUUGCUGAGUUUUCCAGCAGGGUCAGAAUUAAGAAGCUUCCAGGCAAGAACUGAAAGCACUUGUUUGCAACAAGAGUGUGAUGGCUGAGGGGCAGGAUGUGAAACCCUGCAAGUUCAGAAGCCCUGCCAGGCCAGAAGCAGGGAUCAGACCUCUCCAAAGGCAGCCAUGUGAUGGCAAGGGAACUACGGGGCCAACGAACAUUUACUGCCUGCGUGUGGGGUACCAUAAACGGGAGAAGCGCAGGCCUGAGCCAGUGCUCCUCAGCAGGGCUCUGGCUUCUACAGAAAAAUACUUGAAAAUGAUUUAGAGGAAAAAAAUGUGUUUCAAAAGUGUUGCUGGCAUGUUCUCGUUUCUGCCUUGUAAAUCUUUUCAAGCUCCCUGUGCCACUUAAGAGAAGAGAGGUACCAGCUGCUACCUGCCAGAGGAGACCCAGGCUUUAAACAAAGAUGUUCCUGGCCCUCAGAUAGCCCUCACAAUGGCGUGCAAAACGUCUUGACAACACCUCUGGCAUAUUCCCAUUUCCCCUGUAUUUGGAUUCACUGAUUUCACUACAACAGAGUCCGUGGUACAGAGAUCAGCUCUGCAUGGAGUUCACACGUUAUUAUUAGCCGCAGCCGAAAGAACAAUAAUAAAUCAACUUCAUCCUUUCAGAGUUAAGGGUAAAACAGAGAUCGCGCUAUUUAUAAACAAGGUUACAAAGGAUAAAGCAAUAACAUGUUUUGUUGAUAUCCAGCAGUAACAUGUACUGCUAAGCCCCAGAAGCCAACGCUCAGCAAACUUCCCCCCUCCAGAACACGCUUGUUUUUCUUUGCAGGAGGACGCUCCCAGCAGGCCGUCCCUUUGCAGAGCCGCAGAUGCCCUCUGCAGUGGGGAUCAUUGGGCUCCCUUCCCAGGGUAUCCCUGUGCUGCUGUGGCAGAUGGGCCCCGGAGAACAGGGCUGACAUCUGGACCAGGACAUUUCUGCAUCCACUUCUGGGACCUGGAGGCAUAGGCUGUGGGUGGGAGCUCCUGACUCCGACUUGGGCACACUUUCUGCUUCACUUCAAUCGGACUUUCAGAGGGAGAGGAUAUAUUGGAAACCACAUGAAAUAUUUUAUGCAAAUCAGAAAAUGUGUGUGUGACAACAAUCCAGCAAAUCUUACUCAUAAUACCUGGGCUUGCCUUGAACAAAGUUCCCUUCCCAAACCUUCUGGAGGUCUGGACCUAUUGGGACAACUGCCUGGCAUGGCCACAUCCAAAAAGAUUCAUCCAAGCCCACCAAUCUAGUGUGAAUGCAAAGUAAGGAACAAGGGGCCUGGGCUGCAGGAUACAAGGCCAUGUUGCAUGCCUGGUUGGGCCCAGUCUCAUGACACCUAAUCUGGUGCCUCUGCCAUAUGGUUGCAACUCCUACCACCUCUCCUGUGGGAUUGCUCCUGGGAAUCUGUCACCUGCAAUACCCACAAGCCAAGAUCUCAAGGAGCCAAGCAGAGCAGAGAAUUGUGCAUGUGCCCACUCACCCUGCAUGCCUAGUGUUUCAAGAAGAGGAGGAGGAUUUUCCCAGCUUCUGUCUGCAGGUGUCAGUCAGUAUGCGACAGUAGGGCACUCACCUGCUAGAAGAGUUUUGGUAA